GGCUCCGUAGCUUGAAAGAAAGGAGCGCCCGUCUAGCAAAUUGAGAGUCGUGGGUUCGAUUCCCACCGGAGCAC
rnacentral:tRNA from 1 species